GCAGACUCUCUCUCGAGCUUCCCUUACAGGGAAAAAACCUUGGAAGCCAUGGGGGAGGAACUUUGUUUAGUCUGUCAGGGGAGAGCAAGGAAGAACCCCAAGCUUCUACCUCUCACCGCAGCAGCAACAAUACUUCCGCGUAGCCUGACAGUGGAAAAGGACUCAUGCGGUUAGGUGUCCACCUCCAGGUGCCACCCAGGCCCUGCCACUCCUGGACUGACCCAUCCUCCUGGCAAUGUCACCAAGAAAUGGCUAAAGACACAUGGUCCAGGGUCGGCUUUCGGUGGAGAUUCUGGAUGCAAAGACAAGGGAGAAGCUGUGUUUCUUGGACAAGGUGGAGCCCCACGCCACCAUUGCGGAGAUCAAGAACCUCUUCACCAAGACCCAUCCACAGUGGUACCCCGCCCGCCAGUCCCUCCGCCUGGACCCCAGUGAGUACAGCUGUCCACUCGGCCCACCCUAUGGGC
rnacentral:sRNA from 1 species